GUACACGCUGUGACUAGCAUAUCAAUAAGCGGAGGAAAAGAAACUAACAAGGAUUCCCCUAGUAACGGCGAGUGAAGCGGGAAGAGCUCAAAUUUGAAAUCUUAAAGGGUUUCCCUUUACGAAUUGUAGUUUAAAGAAGUGUUUUCUGUUGAGGUUUUGGUAAAAGUUCUUUGGAAUAGGACAUCAUAGAGGGUGAGAAUCCCGUAUUUGACCUUUACUUUCAACUUUGUGAUACACUUUCAAAGAGUCGGAUUGUUUGGGAAUGCAGUCCAAAAUGGGUGGUAAAUUUCAUCUAAAGCUAAAUAUUGGCGAGAGACCGAUAGCGAACAAGUACCGUGAGGGAAAGAUGAAAAGAACUUUGAAAAGAGAGUUAAACAGUACGUGAAAUUGUCAAAAGGGAAGCGUUUGACACCAGUGUUGUUUUUCUGAAAAUCAAUUAAAGAACUGUUUAUGCUAAGCUGUUUAGACUUUAUCAGCUAUCUGUUUAGUUUUAGGCUUUUCUUUAAUGCACUUUUCAGUUAACAAGUCAACAUCAAUUUCUUUUGCUGUAAAAAAGCUUGAGGAAGGUGGCUUGAGAUUCGUCUUAAGUGUUUAUAGCCUCUUGCCUAUGCAGUCGGAGAGAUUGAGGUCUGCAGCGUAGAUCCUUCGGGGCUAAAUGCAUUUGUGCUAAGUUAUAGCAUUUUAUAGACAACUUGUUGACUAUGAUUUGUCUUGUAGCUUACUCGCUUAUGCUAUUUUACCUACGCUUAGGAUGUUGACGCAUGAGAUAUACGC
rnacentral:rRNA from 1 species